AUUGAACGCUGGCGGCAUGCUUUACACAUGCAAGUCGAACGGCAGCGCGGGCUUCGGCCUGGCGGCGAGUGGCGAACGGGUGAGUAAUGCAUCGGAACUUGCCCAGUAGUGGGGGAUAGCCCGGCGAAAGCCGGAUUAAUACCGCAUACGACCUGAGGGUGAAAUCGGGGGACCGAAAGGCCUCGCGCUAUUGUAGCGGCCGAUGUCGGAUUAGCUAGUUGGUGGGGUAAAGGCUUACCAAGGCGACGAUCCGUAGCUGGUCUGAGAGGACGACCAGCCACACUGGGACUGAGGAACGGCCGCGACACCGAGGCGAGGACGCAGUGGGGAAUUUUGGAGAAGGGAGGAAACCCUAAUACAGCCCUGUGGGGGGAGGGCAGAAGGACCACGGGCUGUAAAGCGAUUAUGUUCGGGAAGAAAUACUCUGGGCUAAUACCCCGGGGGGAUGACGGUACCGGAAGAAUAAGCACCGGCUAACUCCGUG
rnacentral:rRNA from 1 species